UGACCCCAGGUAGGAAGGAGAGCAUACUGUCUGCCAUACCUACUUCCUGACUGGGGUUUUU
rnacentral:pre_miRNA from 1 species